AUAUCGGCACGGGACGUUUGCGCUUUUUCAUAGGACAUUUGCGCUUUUUUUUGUGGACACUUGCGCUUCAAAACAUAGGACAUUUGCGCUUUUUAAAAAUGGACAUUUGCGCUUUUUACAUAGGACAUUUGCGCUUUUUUUUAUAUAUAUAUCUAUAACUUCCCAGCCUCCUCUUUUAUCCGGGCUUGGGACCGGUAGGUUUGACCUGGCAGAGUUAAAGUCAUCUUUAUGGUUAAAAGUUUAAAAUUCAUAGCACCUUCAUAUGUCAUAGCACAUUGUUGAUAUAUGUUUAAAGUGUAUGUACAGAAAUAAAAUCAAGUACUGUCAUCACAAUUACAGGUCAGUUUUAGCUUGAUAUUUGAAGCCCAAUGAGUGAACAAAUUUUGCUCUUGUUAACUGUCCUGAUUGGUACUUAUCCCACAUCUCAAAUAAAUGAGCGAGUUUCUCAUUUUCAACGGUACAUCUCCUUAAAAGGUCUCCAAUUUUUAGGGUUUGGUCGAAACGAUAUAAAAAUCCAUCAAGACAUAUUCAUUUUUUUUCUUUACUAGUCACUAUAACUUUAAAAUCC
rnacentral:lncRNA from 1 species